rnacentral:sRNA from 1 species
CUCAUUAGGGAAUGUCCCUUUUCGUAGUUAAUGUGAAUGUCAGGUCGGUGCUCAAAGUCACUCGCUUGAUGCUCACGUGGGAUGUAAGCGUAGACCUCACCAUCACCGUUCUCUCGCCACAUCAAUCU